AUAAGAAAGCCUUUAAUGUAUUGUGGCCAUGUAACCACUCUCCCAUCUUACCCAAGUUAUGCAGUCCUAGUUUUGUUAGUAUUUCUCCAUACAUGCUUUCUCCAAGUACAUUAGCACCUGUUGCAUGCUCUCAUGAGUGGACUAGCCCUAUAUUUCAUUCCUCUUCCUAUUGAGGUUCUCACUCCUGCACCAGAACGUUCUAGGAAAGUGCAAAUAUUAGCAACAGCAGGAUGUUCAUCUAAUUUGUGACUGUGAUUUCUCAGCUUUGUCCACGUGUGCUUUAUCCUAACAAGCUAACAUAGGAUCAUUGCUACAGUCUUUUUGGUGCUUCUCAGGUUCAAGCCCACAUUCUUCUCAUUUCUGGAUGCCACUUUCCAGCUAUCAGACUGUCUUCUUCACAGAGAAGGUGCACUGUAGAGCAGAGAUGGUGGGCUCAGCAAGAAGCAUGCAGAGAGCUACUCCUGGUCCCUUAACGGCCAUUUCCUCUUCUAUGCCCUUGUGCAUGCUGUUUGGUUGUAUUGGCAUUUCACCCAAUAGUCUCUUCUUCUCCAUGGAAAUCUUCUAUCCUUCUUUGGGACCCAGCCCAAAUGUCGUCUCAUUAAACCUCUAUGAUGGGUGAGGUACUUCAUUCUACUCCUGCAGACACCUUUAUUAUCUAGUCUCCAAAUGGAGGUCUAAGGCAUCAAGGUAGGGACUUUAAUUUUUUAAAUAUUCCCAGCAUCUAAAAAGUACUUGGCACAUAGUAGAUGUUCCAUAAAUGUUUGCUGAAUUAAUUAAUUAAAUACUGGCAUAUAGAAGAAAAAGGCUUGAAAGUCACUAGCAUGGAAGUUUUUUAUUGAAUUCCUAGGAGAGAGGAAAGGGAAAGAGAGAGCAAACAGCUCUCUGGAAUCCAGCCACAGAAAAACUUCAAUUGUGUGUGUGUGUGUGUGUGUGUGUGUGUGUGUGUGUGUGUGUAGUGGAAGGUGAGCUAGCAAAGGAAGUCAUGGUCUGCUCAGAUUGCUAGAAGAAGUAGGGUAUUGUCAUGUUACAGAUGUGGAGAAAGAGAGUUUCAAGAAGGAACAUUUUAAAAAUAAAAUCUAAGCCCUGAAUCUGGGCUCUGCAUGUUUGAGCCCCUGCCUACCUCUCUUC
rnacentral:lncRNA from 1 species